GAUCAGCCACACUGGGACUGACACGGUCCAGACUCCUACGGGAGGCAGCAGUGAGGAAUAUUGGUCAAUGGAGGCAACUCUGAACCAGCCAAGUCGCGUGAAGGAUGAAGGUCUUAUGGAUUGUAAACUUCUUUUGCAAGGGAAUAAAGUGGGGGACGUGUCCUCCUUUGCACGUACCCUGAGAAUAAGCAUCGGCUAACUCCGUGCCAGCAGCCGCGGUAAUACGGAGGAUGCAAGCGUUAUCCGGAUUCAUUGGGUUUAAAGGGUGCGCAGGCGGAUUGGUAAGUCAGGGGUGAAAUCCCACAGCUCAACUGUGGAACUGCCUUUGAUACUGUCAGUCUAGAGUAUAGUUGAAGUUGGCGGAAUGUGUCAUGUAGCGGUGAAAUGCUUAGAUAUGACACAGAACACCGAUCGCGAAGGCAGCUAGCUAAGCUAUAACUGACGCUCAUGCACGAAAGCGUGGGGAUCAAACAGGAUUAGAUACCCUGGUAGUCCACGCUGUAAACGAUGAUUACUCGAUGUUGGCGAUACACAGUCAGCGUCUGAGCGAAAGCAAUAAGUAAUCCACCUGGGGAGUACGAUCGCAAGAUUGAAACUCAAAGGAAUUGACGGGGGCCCGCACAAGCGGAGGAGCAUGUGGUUUAAUUCGAUGAUACGCGAGGAACCUUACCUGGGCUCGAACGUAAGAUGACUGUAGGUGAAAGCUUACAUCUCUUCGGAGCAUUUUACGAGGUGCUGCAUGGCUGUCGUCAGCUCGUGCCGUGAGGUGUUCGGUUAAGUCCGGCAACGAGCGCAACCCGUGUCAUCAGUUGCCAGCAGGUAAAGCUGGGAACUCUGAAGAUACUGCCCC
rnacentral:rRNA from 1 species